rnacentral:rRNA from 11 species
GAUUGCAACCUAAAUACGCUAAAGGCUUCAGAUCCUUUCAAAUCUUGAAAACUAAGCAGGGUCAGCCCUAGUUAGUACUUGGAUAGGAAACCACCAAUGAAUAAUAAGUGUUGUAGCAA